rnacentral:rRNA from 1 species
GAUGAACGCUAGCGGCAGGCUUAAUACAUGCAAGUCGAGGGGCAGCGGGGUAGCAAUACCGCCGGCGACCGGCAAACGGGUGCGGAACACGUACAGAACCUUCCUUUAAGCGGGGGAUAGCCCAUAGAAAUGUGGAUUAAUACCCCAUAGUAAUAUUAGUUGGCAUCAAUUGAUAUUUAAAGAUUUAUCACUUAAAGAUGGCUGUGCGGCUGAUUAGGUAGUUGGUGCGGGAACGGCCCACCAAGCCAGCGAUCAGUAACUGGUGUGAGAGCACGACCAGUCACACGGGCACUGAGACACGGGCCCGACUCCUACGGGAGCAGCAGUAAGGAUAUUGGUCAAUGGACGCAAGUCUGAACCAGCCAUGCCGCGUGAAGGAUGAAGG